rnacentral:rRNA from 1 species
UGCAGUCGAACGGAAGGCCCUUCGGGGUACUCGAGUGGCGAACGGGUGAGUAACACGUGGGUGAUCUGCCCUGCACUCUGGGAUAAGCCUGGGAAACUGGGUCUAAUACCGGAUAGGACCACACACUUCAUGGUGAGUGGUGCAAAGCUUUUGCGGUGUGGGAUGAGCCCGCGGCCUAUCAGCUUGUUGGUGGGGUAAUGGCCCACCAAGGCGACGACGGGUAGCCGGCCUGAGAGGGUGACCGGCCACACUGGGACUGAGAUACGGCCCAGACUCCUACGGGAGGCAGCAGUGGGGAAUAUUGCACAAUGGGCGCAAGCCUGAUGCAGCGACGCCGCGUGAGGGAUGACGGCCUUCGGGUUGUAAACCUCUUUCAGUAGGGACGAAGCGAAAGUGACGGUACCUACAGAAGAAGGACCGGCCAACUACGUGCCAGCAGCCGCGGUAAUACGUAGGGUCCGAGCGUUGUCCGGAAUUACUGGGCGUAAAGAGCUCGUAGGUGGUUUGUCGCGUUGUUCGUGAAAACUCACAGCUUAACUGUGGGCGUGCGGGCGAUACGGGCAGACUAGAGUACUGCAGGGGAGACUGGUAUUCCUGGUGUAGCGGUGGAAUGCGCAUAUAUCAGGAGGAACACCGGUGGCGAAGGCGG